GUGAGGAAUAUUGGACAAUGGGCGCAAGCCUGAUCCAGCCAUGCCGCGUGCAGGAAGACGCAUCUAUGGUGUGUAAACUGCUUUUGUACGGGAAGAAACACUCCCUCGUGAGGGAGCUUGACGGUACCGUAAGAAUAAGGAUCGGCUAACUCCGUGCCAGCAGCCGCGGUAAUACGGAGGAUCCAAGCGUUAUCCGGAAUCAUUGGGUUUAAAGGGUCCGUAGGCGGUUUAAUAAGUCAGUGGUGAAAGCCCAUCGCUCAACGAUGGAACGGCCAUUGAUACUGUUAGACUUGAAUUACAAGGAAGUAACUAGAAUAUGUAGUGUAGCGGUGAAAUGCUUAGAUAUUACAUGGAAUACCAAUUGCGAAGGCAGGUUACUACUUGUGGAUUGACGCUGAUGGACGAAAGCGUGGGGAGCGAACGGGAUUAGAAACCCCGGUAGUCC
rnacentral:rRNA from 1 species